CUCCCCGUGACAAGACAUUUACCUUAGUCAUCGUCAUCCUGUUCCAUGUUAGAGUUUUACAAUUACAAUAUUUGUACUACAUACUAUAGUUUGGUUAGAGUAUAAUUUAUAGGAACAACUAUUACCUCGUCCCACAUCGACCAGAAAAGACUGUUUUAGUUGGUUUAUAAGGCGCAAGGUAAGAACACAUAUCGUCCCUUCGGGGACAUCCGAUAAAAUUGGAACGAUACAGAGAAGAUUAGCAUGGCCCCUGCGCAAGGAUGACACGCACAAAUCGAGAAAUGGUCCAAAUUUUUUUUUUCCUCCGAUCCGAUCUCAUUCAUGCCCAGGAAGGAAAGGGUGGUUAGUUUAAGAAUGCCUUCGGGUUAUGGUCUGUGAUCCGCAUAAUGUUGGUCUUAGCCAGAGCAACAUGAAAGAGAGUUAUUGUAAUAAAGGAGAUGGCUCAAAACAAUGGCAAUUAGAUUGGAGUGUAAGAUUUUUCGGUGUUGAUAUUAUGUUGAAAAGGUUCUACUUAAUGGUAAUGUACAUGGAAUAAGAGGUAAUGUUGAUUAUCGGAUAGGAUCUCUGUUUUUAUGCUUUAACUAUCUUUGAUGACGGAAUUCAUUCCUUUGCAAUUUAUUUGCUAUGUACUGUAAUACCCUUUCAUAGUUUCUUUUGUUCAUCUUUUUGGACUGAUACCUGAUCUUUUUAAAAGUUUUGUGGGUGAUAAAACGAAAAGAAAGUAGAUAAUCAAGAGUUGUUACAUGUUCUUGGAACGUCAGUAUAUGUUUGUGCUUGUGGUGUGUAUCUUUAGCAUAUCAUUUGGCAGGCUAUGGCUUGAUCAUAUGUAGCAAUAUGAAUAGCCCACGACCUUAUAUGUUUCAUGGCGGCAACAUGAGAGGGUCAGGUGGGGUUGGGUAAUGGGUAAAAUGGGUAUUGUUAAAAGCAUGUCAGUUUAUAAAACAGAUCAAAAUGGGAAUGAAUGGGCCGGUAGGUUCAAGUUACCAUGAUUUGGGUAAUAUCUUGAUUCCCUUGAGGUCUUCCGUAGUUACUCAUUCGAGUUACCUUGUUUGGUUGCAGAUUUUAUGUGCGGUAAUUCCUAGUUUUCCUAAUAAGUUUCGCUUCUAUAAUUGCUUUUAUCAUUAGAUAUCUAUGUAUAGGAAGCGCAUAUUGGGUUUACUCAGAAUUUGCUUUUGGAUAACAUUUUUAAACUUAAGCUUUGAGUACUCUAUUCAUCUUUGAGGUUUGAUAACUACAAGACCAAAAUGGUGUGCAUCAAGUGAUCGUCAAAGACUGAGGGCAAUCUGUAAGUAAUAAGCUACUACUUACAUGAUAGAAUAAGAAAUAGAGUCACCAUUCUGAAUAUAAGCCUUUUCAUGUGUUAUGUAAUCAGAAUGAAGAAUCAUAUCAGCUAUGGUUCUAAAUUACUUUUUUUAAGGCACCUAAGUGAUAGAUAAUUGGCUAAUGGCAAUCUGGAACCUGGAUUCACUGUAACAAGAUUGUGGAUAUGUAUAUUAUUGAAUAUGCUUUUAACAACGAUCCAUGUAUUGAUCCCCACCGGUUAGAAUUUAAAAUGCUGCUAAAGCCCUGUUGUAUAUGAUGUCUUUGUAACUUUGUAAUUCAACUUAUUCAAGUGUAUGAUGAAUUUUAAAAUAAUAUUGUUCAGUUACCCUUUUUUU